rnacentral:rRNA from 1 species
UACAGAGGUCUCGAGCGUUGUUCGGAUUCAUUGGGCGUAAAGGGUGCGUAGGCUGCGGGGCAAGUCUGAUGUGAAAUCCUGGGGCUCAACCCCAGAACUGCAUUGGAUACUGCUUUGCUAGAGUACUGGAGAGGAGACUGGAAUUUACGGUGUAGCAGUGAAAUGCGUAGAGAUCGUAAGGAAGACCAGUGGUGAAGGCGAGUCUCUGGACAGUUACUGACGCUGAGGCACGAAGGCCAGGGGAGCAAACGGG